rnacentral:rRNA from 1 species
UGGGGAAUAUUGCACAAUGGGCGCAAGCCUGAUGCAGCCAUGCCGCGUGUGUGAAGAAGGCCUUCGGGUUGUAAAGCACUUUCAGCGAGGAGGAAGGGUAGUGUGUUAAUAGCACAUUGCAUUGACGUUACUCGCAGAAGAAGCACCGGCUAACUCCGUGCCAGCAGCCGCGGUAAUACGGAGGGUGCAAGCGUUAAUCGGAAUUACUGGGCGUAAAGCGCACGCAGGCGGUUUGUUAAGUCAGAUGUGAAAUCCCCGCGCUUAACGUGGGAACUGCAUUUGAAACUGGCAAGCUAGAGUCUUGUAGAGGGGGGUAGAAUUCCAGGUGUGGCGGUGAAAUGCGUAGAGAUCUGGAGGAAUACCGGUGGCGAAGGCGGCCCCCUGGACAAAGACUGACGCUCAGGUGCGAAAGCGUGGGGAGCAAACA